rnacentral:lncRNA from 1 species
GCGGGUCCCUGGCUAAGGCUCCUCCCCGACGAACCCCAUUCCUGCUUUCCCGCUCAAAUGUUGCAUUUUCUAAGACCUCCCUGGCCCGCCAUACGCCGAUCCUGAACCUACGAAAACCCAAGACUGCGGGCACGGUGGCUCAUGCCUGUAAUCCCAGCACUUUGGGAGGCCGAGGCGGGCAGAUCACGAGGUCAAGAAGUCGAGACCAGCCUUGCUAACAUGGCGAAACCCUGACUCUACUGAAAAUACAAAAAUUAGCUGGGCGUGAUGGCGUGCGCGCCUGUAGUCCCAGCUGCUCGGGAGGCUGAGGUAGGAGAAUCGCUUCAAUCCGGGAGGUGGAGGUUGCGGUAAGCAGAGAUUGCGCCACUGCACUCUAGCCUGGCGACAGAGACUCCUUCAAAAACAACAACAACAACAACAACAACAACAAAACAAAACCUCCCAAGACCCUAGUGGGCAGACACACAGCCAGCCAGACAUGGAGAGGAGCACAUUAGCAGAAGAAGACGCAAGUGGCUGGUCCUCGAGAGGACGUUGAGAGGAGCAUGCCAGCAGAAGAGCACACAACGACAGGCACCGACACACCACCGGCAGGCCAUGCACCAGCAGAAUGAUGCGGAGUUUGACGGGGCAGUCAGAGAAGAGCCUGGGCCGCCAAGGGGCCCGACUCCAGGGGAAAACCAUCUCCCUUCUGGCUCCCCCAUCUGCUGAGAGCUACUUCUACUCAAUAAAACCUUGCACUCAUUCUCCAAGCCCACGUGUAAUCCGAUUCUUCAGUUUCCUAGGCUGUGUCCUUUGCCUGGAAUGCUCUCUCUUGCUGGCUGGCUUCUUCCCACCAGCUGUGGCCAGGGCUGCUCCUUAUUCCUUCGUCAAAACUCCGUCUGCUGGGUGUGGUGCCUCACACCUGUAAUCCCAGCACUUUGAGAGGCCAAGGUGGGAGUAUCGUUUGAGCCCAGGAGUUCAAGACAAGCCUGGACAACAGAGCAAGACCCUGUCUCUACCAAAGAAAAGAAAAGAAAAGAAAAGAAACAGCCACUUUCUCUUCCAUGAGCCAGUUUAUGUUUUCUUCACGGCAUUUGUUACAAAUCACAAAUGUGGAGGAAAAAUGAAGGCAAAGCAAAAUAACAGGCAAGUCUGAAAACAAAAGUGUUGCCAGUCACGCUAAGCCUCAGGCACGCAUUCUGAAUGAAGCUAAAGUUUAAAGUCCCCUCUGAUAGAUUUGUGACUUAAAUGUCCACACUAGCAAGUGUGUUUCUCACAUGGAGAAGUAGCACGAUUUUAUGUCAGGAAAGGGAUGAGAACAUGCUUCUUGAACACAUACAAUGCUGAAGACAUUUCCUGGAAAACCAUUGGCCUUUGCUUAGGACAGUUGCAUCACACAGAGAUGUUUGUGGUUCAGAUUUAUAAGAAACAUGGGAACUGAAGCCAAAGCACUACUUUUGCUCAGUAUAACCAGGUGCCAGAUCUAAAGUGUUAGGCAGGUUCCUAUAUGUAUGUUAGAAAAAAGUUGCCCAAGUUUUGGACAAUUCCUUUUCCAUCUCUCUUACAAGUCAACAAAUCGAAGCAAUAAACUAUUCUCUGAAGAAAACAAAUUUAUUUGGUUGAUUCAAACUUUUAAUGAGACUAUUACUCCCCUGUGUGCCUUUCCUUUCUCUGGUUCUAGAAAUACAUCUAGAAAGGGGGAAAAUGUUAAUAUAUUUUCUACUGACUUUAUAUCACAAAUGCUUAGCUUAGAGGGUGGACUCUGAGGAACAGUGUCCUUUCCAAAUAUUAUAAAACUUUGUGUUCAUUCUGGAAAAACAAACAAAAUUAAUCACAAUGAUUUCCUGCUUUGGAGCAAUGAGAAAUGGGAGGGAAACUUCACCUUUUCAUAGCUUUUGAUGUUUGCACCAUGUGAAUUACCCACCCCCAAAUUUAAAAUACGAAUUUUUGAAAAAGUGUUUACCUCUGAGAAGAGAAACUAGUAGUGAAGAAUGAGGAGCUGUAGAUUUUUAACGAUUCUGAUGUAUUUGCAUUUUUCCCAAUGUUCAUGAAUAAAUAAAUGUGCAUUCAUAAUUAAAAAGAAUAAACAACCUGGAAAAAACAAAAAAAGCUCUGCGUUCACUGAUCUCUAAAUAAGAAAAGAUAAGACUUGUAGUGUGGCCUUGUACUUGUACAUCUUUUCCAUGUGCCAAAGAGCUACCCCAUGGUCAAGCCAAGUGGUGAUUAUGUAGCUUUCUCUGAACAGACAUAAUAGGGCUACACAUUCACUGUGAAAAAGCUGCAGACAGAUGACACCAGUCAACAGAACACCCUACACAGAAACUGUAAAACCAUUUUAAC